rnacentral:rRNA from 1 species
GGGGAAUUUUCCGCAAUGGGCGAAAGCCUGACGGAGCAAUACCGCGUGAGGGAGGAAGGCUCUUGGGUUGUAAACCUCUUUUCUCAGGGAAGAACAAAAUGACGGUACCUGAGGAAUAAGCAUCGGCUAACUCCGUGCCAGCAGCCGCGGUAAUACGGAGGAUGCAAGCGUUAUCCGGAAUUAUUGGGCGUAAAGCGUCCGCAGGUGGCAGUUCAAGUCUGCUGUCAAAGGUCAGGGCUCAACCCUGAACAGGCAGUGGAAACUGAACAGCUAGAGUGCGGUAGGGGCAGAGGGAAUUCCCAGUGUAGCGGUGAAAUGCGUAGAGAUUGGGAAGAACACCGGUGGCGAAAGCGCUCUGCUAGGCCUGCACUGACACUCAGGGACGAAAGCUAGGGGAGCGAAUGGGAUUAGAUACCCCAGUAGUC